rnacentral:tRNA from 1 species
GGUGUAGCUCAAUUGGCAGAGCAACUGUCUUGUAAACAGAAGGUUACGGGUAGCCUUCGGGCAGUCUCACGUCUACAACUCCUGUCGGGACUACCA